UUGAGAGAUUGGCAAAAAUUUUGGUGACAAUUUGAUAAAAUUAUUAUUGAUGCUAUAAUGAAUGAAUACAUAGGGGAGGGGGACAUGGAACAUAAGAUCUCUCAUCUUUUUAUAAAUGUCUUAAAAGCUGCAGAGGAUUCAUUGUGUAGGCUAUUUCUAGAUCAUUGAAUAAAUGGUUAUCAAAAGCUUCUCAGGGAAUUAAAAUAUCAUGGUAAGAUGAGUAGAUUCAUGAAUUUGUUCUCCAUUCAAUAAAUAUUUAUUGAUAAUUUUUAAGGACCAUGCUAAACAAGACAGAAAUCGAGACUCCACUUCCUUGGCACUUUUACAACUGUAGAAGUUGUGUCCACGGUCAACAAAUUAAAGACAGCCAUCGAGGUCACCAGAGGAAAGCAAAGGCAAUGAGAUAAACUCAGAGGAAAGAAACAUGGCUUGUGGGCUGGGCAAAAGCAAAGACCCCAGAGAUGGCUUCCCAGAGACUGCCAUGUAAGUACACAUUCAUGUCUAAAUUCUAAACGUUGGGGUUAAAACCCUUAAAAAUGUGAUUUGAGGGUUCACAUAAAACUGGGGUACAAAGCCACUGGCAGAAAAAAAUAAAAUCUGAUCCAAUUUAAUGGUUUUGACACAGCCUGGAGACUCUACCUGCUCUUUGAGCUCCUUAUCCUAGGUUUCCAAGUGAAUACCAACCUGCUUGCCUUGCUUCAUCUAGAAAUAGAGGCUAAAGAGAAGGGGUAUUGAAAAGUGGUUUUGAAAAUGGCACUUUUUAAAAUUUGUUUUGCUCUAAAGUUAAAAGAGGGCAGGAGUCUUGCAUCUAACAAAAUAAUCAUCUCAUGUGGUAAGGUUCACAACGUUUACAGUGAUGUGAUUUUUCCCAUAUUUAAAGUUCAUAUAUUUCUGUUACAACAAAAUAUUAUUUUAAUAAAAAUAAUGUUAUUUAAAAAUGAAUGGAUUCCCUUUUCAUGCGUGCCAUAAAUGUAACUGGGAAACACAUCAGGAGGGGAAUAUUAGAAUUAGAAACUAGAUAUCAGACACAGCAGUAGCAUUCUAUUCUCAUAAGUCAGUAGAUGCAUUCUCUACUAGAAAUUUAUUUCAAUAAUUAAUAUAACUUCUUUUUUGGAAAACCUCUAAACUUGAGAAAGUUAAAAUCAAUCUCUGUGUAUCAACUUGCUAACAGCUAACUUAGCACUUUGUCCUUAUGCGGUGUUUUUUUUUUUUUUUUUCCCAGUUACUGAUGGGCAAUCAGCAACAUUAAGCCUGCUGAGUAAUUGAAACAUUUUUUAAAUUAUAUGGAUCCCUAGAGAUGAUAUAUUGUAUUUAACCUUGGCAUUUGAUUUAAAUUACAGGAAUAUACUAGAUUAUGUUAUUGAAGACUUAAAAAUCAGUUUUUAUUUCUUAUCUAAUUUGUAUCUCAAGAUUGUUCAGUUCAGUUCAGUUCAGUCACUCAGUCGUGUCCGACUCUUU
rnacentral:lncRNA from 1 species